rnacentral:rRNA from 1 species
UACGUAGGGGGCAAGCGUUUGUCCGGAAUCAUUGGGCGUAAAGAGCGUGUAGGCGGCUUGGUAAGUCCGCUGUGAAAGUCCAGGGCUCAACCCUGGAAUGCCGGUGGAAACUGCCAAGCUAGAGUCCGGAAGAGGCGAGUGGAAUUCCUGGUGUAGCGGUGAAAUGCGCAGAUAUCGGGAGGAACACCUGUGGCGAAAAGCGGCGCACUGGACCAUAACUGACGCUGAGGCGCGAAAGCUAGGGGAGCAAACAGG